UCUCUGUGAUGUUCCAAUAGAUCCUUCCAACUCUUCACUAUGUACUCAGAAGAGAAAUGAGGAUAUUGUGUUACUGAGAGA